rnacentral:lncRNA from 1 species
AAUACGAUCUAGAUCGGCCUUAAAAUUUUGAACCACAUCUCUCGAGACCAAUACAAAGAGGUCCAAGCCAUGAUCAAGCCAAGAGUUAAAGGAUGCCUUCGGUCAACCUUUUUUAGGCUCCUAAGCCCUCAAUGCCACGUGUGGAUAAUAGCUUGGAGCUUGAAGUAUGUUUUGAAGAGAAUAUGUGGGUUAUUUUCAAAAUAACUACUUUUGAGCUAUUUUUGGAAUAGGCUAUUUAGGCAAAGACAAAUACUAUAAAUAAAUGUCUUAGUCAUUUCGUUUAACAACUUUUGAUGAUAUUGGAGCGAAUGCUCUUAUGAGUGAUUUGCAAGUUUGGAUUAGCUUGUGUUGAAACUUGUUUAAAAACGUAGGUUGCUUGGAAACUCGAUUCUCUUGAGAUCUACGUAAGAAAUUGGUGUUCGAUCCUAUAAGAUUUAGGAGUCUUCGAGUUUGAUACAUUCAUUGGUUCUCUUAUUUUCGUAUGUCAAUUUACCUAUUUUUAUUUCUUGUAUUGUUGUGAUUUUAGCUUCCUUAGGUAGACUUCUAUUUUUCGUAGCUAGAUUCGUAUCAUUUGGUAUCAAAAGCCGAGUUUAGAAUCGUUUCCACCAUUCUAGUCUUGGGUUUUGCUAUCUGAAAAAAAAAAGAGUCAAAAACUGAAAACCACAAUUUUUUUUCCAUUUUUACUCCUAGGCCGACAGUUUAGGUCUCGAAAUUUUUGUUUGUUUCUAGUGUUAGUUCCUUGUUCCCUAAUACUAAUAGAGUCUAGAUCUUGAAUUUGAGCUUAUUCCGGGUUAAUUUGAGCCAUCCACCAUUGUUGAGCUUGAAGUUAAAGAAACUUGAAGGUGGAUCUCGAAUUUUGGAAGGGUUUUGUUGAGAUUUUUGGCUUGAAUGUGUGUUGGUUGUGUUUGGGAG